ACAUUGGGUUACUGCUGGACAUGUUUAGUCUGUUUUUUUUUCCUUGACAAAAUAAUGACAGCAAUCAGAACAAAGUGUUUUCAUUCCUGUCUGCUUUAAGCAUGUACAGUAAAAUGUAGGGACCAUGUGAUCCAUGCCAGACUGCACUUUGCCGUUCAUUGAUGCAUCAAACAAACACUUUUUUUUUUCAGUUGCUUCUUUCUUUGUCUCUGGUAAUCACCUGCAUAGUUAUACUAAAACAUUUAUUAAUGCCCCGAGCUCAGCAAAUAUUGGUGAAUUGUUGUUGUUGAUUCCUUUUUCUGAUAGUAAUCAUUGGUCUGAGUUGCUGAGAAUUUCACCACUAAUAUGAAUCUUUCCUGAAUGUCUCAAUACUUAGCCAGACAGUGGACAAGCCUGAAUAGGCAGUGAGCAAGACUGAACAGACAGUGAACAAGUUCUUGACAGAUGGUGUGUAAAUGAGGAUAAACAGAGGAAAAGCCAAAACAUUCAGACUGUGACCAACCAGGAUGUUGGACUAGACAAGGAACAUCACCAGAGAGUGUGGAUUUGGCAAGAGCAGGAAAAGGACAACAGGCCAGACAUUAAGGAUUGUGCCCAAAGAUUGAAGCAGGACCAAAUGACAAGAUGGUUUCUGGUAAAUUUGUUGUGAGGCAGUUAUUGAAAGUCAGAGAUUUACAUCUUUAAGAAAUAAUAUUAAUAAUAAUUAUGUUAUUUGUAAUUAGGGGUACAACAUGUGGCAUGAACUGUUUGCAAGGCUAACAUUUUGUUUCUUUCUGAUUUUCUGGUGAUUAGAAAUGUUUUCAGAAUACCCAAACUGAUUGAUUUUAGCUAAAGCCAAAUAAUCUUUCCUCCAAAUUAUAUGCAAAUAUGAAAAUGUGAUCUACAUACAUAUAAUCUCAACCUGGAAAUGUUGACUUUAUAAAUGUUCAUGUUACUUUGGAUGUUUAAUUUAAGAUAUUUUUAGUUAUAGAUUGUACAUUUUCCCCUAAAAAAUUACUGAGGCUUUACAUUGCAAACUAAGCUAAAAAUCUCAAAGCACAAAAUAAACUCUUGCAAAAUAUUCAUGCUACACAUACGCACUGAUUAGUAAGCUCACCAAUUACUUAAAAAAGUAACUAACAGGAGAAUAUUGUUUUACUUAGACUUAGAUAUACCAAAUUUGAUUUAUAAAUGGUUUUGUAGCCAUUUAACUUUUUAAUUAUUGGCCCAGCCCGGGAGGUCAUUGAACAUGGGGUACAGCUGGCCUGGGGUUUUCCUCCUAGGGGCAAGUGGACGUACGGGGAGGUUUUUCACCCAGCUGUUGUUCCACAACCCCUGUUCAGUAUAGUUACUUAUUUCAAUAGCUUGAUACACUUUUGCUAGAUUCUUCAAUGUGGUUUACAUUGGUUUGGAGAGAAUGUAAAAAAAAUACAAACUGUAAAGUAUACAGUCACUAACAUUUUAGAACAAACACUUCUGAACUGAUACCAACAACUGCAUUUCUUUCACUCAUCAAAUGGCUUGUUUAUGACCUCAACUAAACCAACCAGCAGACGAUAACUUCAACAGAACAAACACAAACUUGUCUGACUAACAAUACUUGUGCAUUUAUGUAGAUGAUUUAAACGGACAACACCGUGCAGCAAGAACUACUUGCAUCUUACAAAUGACUUAUUCAUGACCUCAACAAGCCAACAAAAUAAAAUGUUAACUUCAAACAGAACAAUCACACAUUGGACUAAAAAUCACUGCAACCAACAAUAACUGGCCAAUCACAGUUAACUUACUUUGUACUCUGACUGUCAAUAACCACACUGGAAGCUGACCAGUCAGCUUCAAGGACCAGACUUAUCACCCUCAACUGACCAACAACUUUUUACCUAACUCUGGAGACUGGCUCUAUGCUUCACAGAAACUUGACAAAAGACAAAAGGAAAGCACUUAACAAUGACCGACAACAGAACACAUUCUACUGCCAUUAGGGAAGUGACUGACUACCACAACAAAAUGGACACAUUUGGUAAUGGCAAACAUACUUACAAAUACCUGACCUGACACCUGUACUUCAACAUAAACUUAACAGUCAACAAACUAACAAAAAGACCGCCAUUGACAUUCAAGUCUACUACUAUGUCAAUAAGGAUCACGACAGCCAAACCUUAAGACACCACCGAAACUGUGCAAAUCACAUA
rnacentral:lncRNA from 1 species